rnacentral:rRNA from 1 species
UACGAAGGGGGCUAGCGUUGCUCGGAAUGACUGGGCGUAAAGGGCGCGUAGGCGGAUGGUACAGUCAGAUGUGAAAUUCCUGGGCUUAACCUGGGGGCUGCAUUUGAUACGUAUUGUCUAGAGUGAGGAAGAGGGUCGUGGAAUUCCGAGUGUAGAGGUGAAAUUCGUAGAUAUUCGGAAGAACGCCAGUGGCGAAGGCGACUUACUGGACACAUAUUGACGCUGAGGUGCGAAAGCGUGGGGAGCAAACAGG